rnacentral:lncRNA from 1 species
GUUGUAAUACGUCAGUUUUAUUGUCGGACUGCAGUAUAUUUACGAAAACCUAUAAGAUUCAUACGUUCGACGGUCAGGAAUUCUAAUUCGUGAAAACAUUGCUUAUUUGUGACUUCAAAUGGGCUUUGGAUAUAUUUUCGGUAAGUCUAGUGACCCGGUUCUGUGUGGCUUUUUUUCGUUUUAUUACUUGAAUUGUUGUUUAAUUUGUUGAUGCUGUUGUUAUUAUUUUGCUUUGUUGUUUCGGGCUGAUCUGAUGAGUCAAUGCUUUCCCAACUGAUGUUUACAGUUUUAACAUCGCAAUGACCGUGAGGGUAUUCCGAUGUAUUGCUAUCGUCU